UACGUAGGGUGCAAGCGUUAAUCGGAAUUACUGGGCGUAAAGUGUGCGCAGGCGGCAUUGCAAGUCGAGUGUGAAAGCCCCGGGCUUAACUUGGAAACUGCCGUGGAUACUAUCAAUCUUGAAUAUCGUGGAGGUAAGCGGAAUAUGUCAUGUAGCGGUGAAAUGCUUAGAUAUGACAUAGAACACCAAUUGCGUAGGCAGCUUACUACACGAUCAUUGACGCUGAGGCACGAAAGCGUGGGGAGCAAACAGG
rnacentral:rRNA from 1 species